rnacentral:rRNA from 1 species
GUCUGUGGCCAUGCCACCCUGAGUACACUCAUCUCAUCGGACCUCAGAAGCUAAGCAGGGUCUGGGCUGGUUAGCACUGGAUGGGAGACCACCUGGCAGCAGUGGGCGCUAAAGGAG